rnacentral:misc_RNA from 1 species
AACGCACGAGACCUGCGGACCUGCGGAAGGAUCAUUACCGAGUUUACAACUCCCAAACCCAAUGUGAACGUUACCAAACUGUUGCCUCGGCGGGGUCACGCCCCGGGUGCGUCGCAGCCCCGGAACCAGGCGCCCGCCGGAGGAACCAACCAAACUCUUUCUGUAGUCCCCUCGCGGACGUUAUUUCUUACAGCUCUGAGCAAAAAUUCAAAAUGAAUCAAAACUUUCAGCAACGGAUCU